rnacentral:rRNA from 1 species
AAGUCGAACGGUAACAGGGAGCUUGCUCCGCUGACGAGUGGCGAACGGGUGAGUAAUACAUCGGAACGUGUCCUGUAGUGGGGGAUAGCCCGGCGAAAGCCGGAUUAAUACCGCAUACGAUCUACGGAUGAAAGCGGGGGAUUCUUCGGAACCUCGUGCUAUAGGGGCGGCCGAUGGCAGAUUAGCUAGUUGGUGGGGUAAAGGCCUACCAAGGCGACGAUCUGUAGCUGGUCUGAGAGGACGACCAGCCACACUGGGACUGAGACACGGCCCAGACUCCUACGGGAGGCAGCAGUGGGGAAUUUUGGACAAUGGGCGAAAGCCUGAUCCAGCAAUGCCGCGUGUGUGAAGAAGGCCUUCGGGUUGUAAAGCACUUUUGUUCGGGAAGAAAAGGUUUGGGCUAAUAUCCUGAACUGAUGACGGUACCGGAAGAAUAAGCACCGGCUAACUACGUGCCAGCAGCCGCGGUAAUACGUAGGGUGCAAGCGUUAAUCGGAAUUACUGGGCGUAAAGCGUGCGCAGGCGGUUUGUUAA